rnacentral:rRNA from 1 species
GACGAACGCUGGCGGCGUGCUUAACACAUGCAAGUCGAACGGAAAGGCCCUGCUUUUGUGGGGUGCUCGAGUGGCGAACGGGUGAGUAACACGUGAGUAACCUGCCCUUGACUUUGGGAUAACUUCAGGAAACUGGGGCUAAUACCGGAUAGGAGCUCCUGCUGCAUGGUGGGGGUUGGAAAGUUUCGGCGGUUGGGGAUGGACUCGCGGCUUAUCAGCUUGUUGGUGGGGUAGUGGCUUACCAAGGCUUUGACGGGUAGCCGGCCUGAGAGGGUGACCGGCGACAUUGGGACUGAGAUACGGCCCAGACUGCUACGGAAGGCAGCAGUGGGGAAUAUUGCACGAUGGGCGGAAGCCUGAUGCAGAAACGCCGCGUGCGGGAUGGCGGCCUUCGGGUUGUAAACCGCUUUCGCCGGUGACGAAGCGUGAGUGACGGUAAUGGGUAAAGAAGCACCGGCUAACUACGUG